UACGGAGGAUGCGAGCGUUAUCCGGAUAUAUUGGGUUUAAAGGGUGCGUAGGCGGGAUGCCAAGUCAGCGGUAAAAAUGCGGUGCUCAACGCCGUCGAGCCGUUGAAACUGGCGUUCUUGAGUGGGCGAGAAGUAUGCGGAAUGCGUGGUGUAGCGGUGAAAUGCAUAGAUAUCACGCAGAACUCCGAUUGCGAAGGCAGCAUACCGGCGCCCUACUGACGCUGAGGCACGAAAGCGUGGGUAUCGAACAGG
rnacentral:rRNA from 1 species